GGCUGCAAAAGAAGCUGCCCUGGAAAAGCAAGUUGAAGACCUCACUUUACAAUUGGAGUUCGAGAAGCGCAUGAGGGCUGACUUGGAGGAAGCCAAAAUAAAAGAAAAUGUGAAACUACGGUCUUUUUUUGGAACAAAUGGAACUUGAGUUUCAAGAAACUAAAGAAUUGCUGAUGAAAGAAUUACCUGGGAAAUUUAAGGAGAUCGCUGAUGCAGUGGAAGCCAUAACUGAAGAAAAUGCGAAACUAAAGUCUGCUUUGUUGGAAGAAAUGCGAGUUAGGGAACAUAGUAAUCAGGCAAGUAGGAUUCGACCGGAAUCACCGGCACUGACCCGAAGGCAGACAAACGGCCACCGGUUACACAAGGACGACAAACGGUCACCCGUUACACAAGGACGACACAUUGAAGAGGAGUGGACAGCACAUUGAAGAUGAGUUACUCCUUGUCAUUAUUAGCAGCACUUAGUACAACAUUAUGCAUCCGUUACUUAAUCAC